GCCAUAUAACUUUUUAAUGAAAUCUUGUAUAAGCCUCUGACCAAAUGAAACACUUCAUUGGAACAAUAAAUUGAAAUUAAAUAAUUGUUUUUCUUUGCCACCAUGGCGUUAGGCUUAUAUAUUAUUAAAAAAACAAAAGUGUUGGUUUAGAUUUUCUACUUGAUUUGGCCGAGUGAAGGGUAGUCAUUUAGCUACAAUUUUGUUCUGUAUACACUGAACAGCCACUGUAUAGGUACAUCUUGGCUUGGAUUGUGGCAUCUGUAUGUCACUAUUGUGUUAAUGUGGACCAACAAGACCCGAGGACUGUUACCAGCACCUUGUUGAAUCUAUGCAUGAACACUUAAGACAGUUCUGAAGGCAAAAGGAGAUCCAACCCCAAACUAGCAAGUUGUAACUAAUAAAGUAGCCACUGAAGGUAUUAUUGUAAAUGUUGCUAGAAGAUGCAUAAUUCAUUUGUUUGUUUAGGAAUUUUUUUUAUUUUUAUUUUUUGUAAUCACUUUAGUUUCAACUUGGUAAAGGCGAGAUCUCUGUUGUCUAUCUUCCCAGUGCAAACUGCUUGCACAAUAUAGUACUUAGCACGAUGAAAUGUGCCACCAUCAGUACUGACAAGCAGUUUAGCCGCACGCAGCAAGAAAAGCAAUAAUUUUUCUAGUUUUCUAGUUACAGCACCUGAUGCUUUAAACUCUUUCUUGCCCAGUUUCGUCACAAUGUACACAGAUUGUACAAAAGAGGGGGAAAAAAUAAGCAGGUUUAAUGAACAGGUGUGUAAUCACUCUCUGAGAUAUAUAAAAAACUUUACAUUAUGUAAAUGUUUAAAUAUUAGUUAUUGGACAUUCUAUACAGGCUUUUCUGUGAUUUAUGUAAUUUCACACUGUGUUUGACAUGUUUUCAGAUCCAUAAUGAGGCAGAUUAUGUUUUAUGAUGGACAGUCUCUUCCAUAACUGUUUUGAAGCUGAGUCACUCAGUCGGCUGUCUGCUGUUCUUCAUCGUGGCCACUACAAGGUUUGAAUUUCUUUUCCUGCAUCAUAUGUACCUCAGGUUUAUGGAAGUUGUCAUUUAUGUUGUUUUGUUCAUGGUUUCACCUUUUAUACUAUGAAUGAUUUACCGUAUCAUUGUUUACCCCGAUGUUCUAAAGAUAAUCCAAGGCUAUGCUUUAA
ensembl:lncRNA